AUGUGUGUAAGGGGUUUUAUGGGAACACCUCCUGUAGGCAUGAUAUUGCAUCAGCCCGAUUCUCCGGCCAGACGAGAAGGGUCUGGCUGCAACCACUGUGGAGCUCCACACCAGCAUUGCAGGAAUGCACAACAUGUUGCAGAAGACUCUUUCACUGCCCUCUGUGCCCCACUUUCAGCCCUACUGUCAGGGCAAAGAUUGAGGAACAUGAUGAACAUAAAUGGACACAUUAAAAUGCUUUGCCUUUCAAAGAAAUAACAUGCAGUGUAAAGUUCUGCACGUUCUGCACUUCCAAUCAAGAGGGUCUGCAAAUGGGUGAAGCAAAUACAGAUUAACCACAGAGGACCAGAUUGUGUCUGCAGCUUCAAAACCCCAGGUAGAUCCCACCGAUCUCGUUGUCAUCCUAAAGAAGAAAACCAGAUUGUGUGACUUGGGCAUUAAGGAAGCGGCCCAGUAAUCAGAAAGUUGUCCAAUCUGCCGGUAAUAAAAAAAAAAAAAGGCACUGAUAAUCA
rnacentral:lncRNA from 1 species